UAGGGAAUCUUCCGCAAUGGACGCAAGUCUGACGGAGCAACGCCGCGUGAGUGAAGAAGGAUUUCGGUUCGUAAAACUCUGUUGUUAGAGAAGAACAGCGCAUAGAGUAACUGUUAUGCGUGUGACGGUAUCUAACCAGAAAGCCACGGCUAACUACGUGCCAGCAGCCGCGGUAAUACGUAGGUGGCAAGCGUUGUCCGGAUUUAUUGGGCGUAAAGCGAGCGCAGGCGGUCAAUUAAGUCUGAUGUGAAAGCCCCCGGCUCAACCGGGGAGGGUCAUUGGAAACUGGUUGACUUGAGUGCAGAAGAGGAGAGUGGAAUUCCAUGUGUAACGGUGAAAUGCGUAGAUAUAUGGAGGAACACCAGUGGCGAAGGCGACUCUCUGGUCUGUAACUGACGCGGAGGCUCGAAAGCGUGGGGAGCGAACAGG
rnacentral:rRNA from 1 species